rnacentral:rRNA from 1 species
GGGCCCGCACAAGCGGUGGAGCAUGUGGUUUAAUUCGACGCAACGCGAAGAACCUUACCAGGGCUUGACAUCCCCUGACAGCGCAAGAGAUUGAGCAUUUGGUUUUCGGACCGACAGGGAGACAGGUGGUGCAUGGUUGUCGUCAGCUCGUGUCGUGAGAUGUUGGGUUAAGUCCCGCAACGAGCGCAACCCUUAUUCUUAGUUGCCAGCAUUACGGAUGGGCACUCUAAGGAGACUGCCGGUGACAAACCGGAGGAAGGUGGGGAUGACGUCAAAUCAUCAUGCCCUUUAUGUCCUGGGCUACACACGUGCUACAAUGGCCUGUACAAAGGGUAGCGAAGCCGCGAGGCGGAGCCAAUCCCAAAAAGCAGGUCUCAGUUCGGAUUGCAGGCUGCAACUCGCCUGUAUGAAGUCGGAAUCGCUAGUAAUCGCGGAUCAGCAUGCCGCGGUGAAUACGUUCCCGGGCCUU